GGUAGCAUGACCGAGAAGCCCAAGGCACUGGAUUAAGGCUUCAGUCUCUUCAGGGGGCGUGGGUUUGAAUCCUACUGAUGCCA
rnacentral:tRNA from 1 species